ensembl:lncRNA
GCUACCAAAACAGGGCAGAUGCUCGGCCUCUCCAGAGGGUAUUUUCCAGGCAAAAGUCCCAGCCGGUGUGUUGGCUCAUUCUCCAGAGUCACCAGGGGUGUAGAGUGCUCCCAUCUUUGUCUGCCACCCCAGGGGCGCCGUACCCAUCUGGUGAGGUUCAGCAGCACAAAACAGCAAAUCCAAUUAAUGGUGGCUUACAAAGACAAGGCUUCCCUGAUGGCUCAGCUGGUAAAGAACCUGUCUGCAAUGUAGGAGAAGUGGGUUGGAUCCCUGGGUCAGGAAGAUCCCUUGGAAAAGGAAAUGGCAACCCACUCUAGUAUUCUUGCCUGGGAAAUCUCAUGGACAGAGAAGCCUGGCGGGCGUCCCAAGAGUUGGACACGACUUAGCAACUAAACCACCACCACAAAGAUAAAACCCUGGGGAAUUCCCUGGUAGUCCAGUUGUUGAGAAUUUGCCUUUCAAUGCAGGGGACAUGGGUUCAAUCCCUGGCUGGGGAUCUCACAUGCUGUGGGGCAACUGAGCUGAGGUGCUGCAACUACUGAGCCCUUGUGCCUCAACUGGAGAGCCCACGUGCUCUAAAGCC